UACGAAGGGUGCAAGUGUUACUCGGAAUUACUGGGCGUAAAGCGUGCGUAGGUGGUUUGUUAAGUCUGAUGUGAAAGCCCUGGGCUCAACCUGGGAAUUGCAUUGGAUACUGGCAGGCUAGAGUGCGGUAGAGGAUGGCGGAACUCCCGGUGUAGCAGUGAAAUGCGUAGAGAUCCGGAGGAAUACCAGUGGCGAAGGCGGCACGCUGGGCCAUAACUGACGCUAAGACUCGAAAGCAUGGGUAGCGAACGGG
rnacentral:rRNA from 1 species